GGGGAGGCUUCAUAGCUCAGUGGUAAGAGCACCAGCUUUGCGUGCUGAAGGUCCCAGGUUCAAUCCCUGGCCUCUCCA